CCUACGGGAGGCUGCAGUCGAGAAUCAUUCACAAUGGGGGAAAGCCUGAUGCAGCAACGCCGCGUGAAGGAAGAAGGGUUUCGGCUCGUAAACUUCUAUUAUCAGGGACGAAAGAAAUGACGGUACCUGAAUAAGAAGCCCCGGCUAACUACGUGCCAGCAGCCGCGGUAAUACGUAGGGGGCAAGCGUUAUCCGGAUUUACUGGGUGUAAAGGGUGAGUAGGCGGCAUAGUAAGCCAGAUGUGAAAGCCUUGGGCUUAACCCGAGGAUUGCAUUUGGAACUGUCAAGCUUGAGUACAGGAGAGGAAAGCGGAAUUCCGAGUGUAGCGGUGAAAUGCGUAGAUAUUAGGAAGAACACCAGUGGCGAAGGCGGCUUUCUGGACUGAAACUGACGCCGAGGCGCGAAAGCGUGGGGAGCGAACAGGAUUAGAUACCCGAGUAGUC
rnacentral:rRNA from 1 species